rnacentral:lncRNA from 10 species
UGGCAAAGGCCCUGGCAGGAAGUUUACAGGGUUUAACGUAAACAAGUUCUGGGGGAUUCUUUAAUAAUAAUAAUAGAGAAUUCCGCGUGCGCAGGGCGGGAGGGGGGAGUUGGCCUAAUGCCCCUGUGGGCUCGGCCUGCCGCCGCCGCGGGGCCUCUGACACUGCGCGCCAGGCCAGGUUCCUGAGAGCAGACAGCGCGGGCUGGGAGCGCCGGCAAGGGCGGCCCUCGCGCACCUGGCUGCCAGCCCGCAGGGGGCUCGCACGCAGACCUGCCCUUGCCACCUCAGCGCUCGGGUGCGGGCUGGGGGCGGUGGAGCCACGAAAGGUGGUGCCGAGAGCGGAGCGCAGGACAGCGCAGGAGCCCCGGCGCAUCGCGGCGCGCACAGACCCAGGAUUUGUGAAGAGGUGACCCAAAUUUCAAGACAAUGUUGGAUGCAAACGGAUUUGCCAGCAACUGCAUCACUGUCAAAACCAGCUCUGCCCGUGUCUUCCGAAGAUACCAAGUGAAAUACAUGUAGAUGGGAUUUACAUCUGAAAAACCAAGGCAAGAGGCCAUGGGAAGGGACGGAGGUGGAACAGGACUGGACAGAAGCUGAUAAAUGGUUGUUGCUGAGUACUGGGCAGAUAGGGGUUGGUUAUCCUAUUGUCUUUACUUUCAUAUAUUUUAUUUUUUCUGUAAUAAAACAAAUUAAAAUCACCUGUCGUGACCUCACAGGGGCCAGUGUGGGUUGUGGCGUGAGGCAGGAAGCUCUGCAGAGUUCCUUGGUCAAAAGGAUUAAUUACAAAAGAACUCCAUGAACACCGAGAAGAAGAGAAGGGAAUCCUGGCAUUUAAAGCCACAAAGAAACUUGAUAUGGUCUUGUCUCCUUCUCUCAAUUGACAGUGAGAAACUGAAGACCAGAGAGGGUGAGUGGUUUACUCAGUUUGGCACAACUGACCCCAACCUAGCCCUCCAUGAGGACUGAGCGCAUGAGAGAUCCUGAGCCACAGCCGCCCAGCCCUGCUCCUCUCGAAUUUCUGACCUACAGGAACUGCAAGAAGUAAUGAAAGACUGCUGUUUAAAGCCACUGCAUUUUGGCAUGAUUUGUUAUGCAGUCGUAGAUAACCAGAAAACAUCGGAUUUACAUUUUAAGGAAACAGAGAAGCAAAGAAGUUAGCAAGCUUGUUUUGGCAGAAGAAAAAACACAAAAUACCCAACCACAGAUCCUCAAAAAUAUUGCUAAGCACUAAUUUUGCUAACAUGUUAGACAGCCUUCGGAUCUAGGCAAUCUUGUUCCUCAGCUGGAAAGAGUUCCUGCCAGCCAUGUGAUUCCAAAUCCACCCUGGACAUAUGGGGAUAAUGAGAAAAUCAGCUCCGGCCUUCCCUGGCCUUCCAGCCAAGUGAAUGGGGGCAUCCCCUGGUGCUUCAGCCCGGGGCCCACCCAGAGGAUGCUAGCUGGCCUGCAGAGGCCUCAACCAUGCCCUCCUGGACUCAGGUAAGACUGAGGUUUCCAUGCCCUCAAAACAAUUGUUCAGACAAAAACUCACUGCCCAGGUCAAAGUCACAGCACCAGAAAGCCAACCUGAGGAUGAAGACAAAGCUCUUUGUUGGCACAGUCCCCUGAUCAUUCGAGGUCAGCAUCUCCAUCAAAAUGGACCCAAUGCUGAGGCAAGAAGGAGAACAUCACUGUUAAGAAGGUAAUGAGUCACAAAUGCUAUUUCGAUGGUUUUCUUUGAAAGAAAUACACAGAACCAAACCAAUUUUAAUUAAAGAUCUUGUCUUUGUAAUCAGGCAGCCACAAAUGAAGGCAAAACUGCUUUCAUGUGGCAUAAUAUACACAGAGCUGAACUAGUUUUCCCAUAAAAGGGCAGGUUCUUUUCUUCAAAUAAGAAAAGAGUUUGUUCCUAACAAUAUGGGGGAUGCAACAGAAAGCUGUCUUUUGCAAAGUAUAAAAUUGCAGAUCCUCCCGUGGAAGCCAUUUCUUGAUGCUAAACCAAUGCGAACGUUUGCCAAACGCACAUGCGAGCCGGGAUUAUCCUACCCUUUGAGAUUAGACAUGUGAUCCUGAUUUUUAAGUGAAAAACGCAGCCAGAGGCCAAAUAAACAUACCUACAAGUACAUCGAAAGCUCAAAUGGUUGAGAAAUGAUUGUAACACACCCCGGUGUGUAUUUCUGAGGAAGAAUCAACAUGCACAUGGAAAUUGAUGUUUUGAUUUUUAAUUUUAAAACGACGACAGAACUGAAAUACCUCCCCUAACUAGGUCCACUGAAACCAGUGAGGAGAUAAUCAUUUUCAGUUAAAUAUGCAUGUAAUUUAAUAAUCCACAGAUGGAAAAUGCAUUUGAGGUGGACUGAACACAGCCAGGAGUUUUUGCUUAUCGACAGCACUGAAUCCUGCCUUGACUAGAGAGACUCGUCAUGUGAUCAACUGUGGCCAGAGGGCAUCCUGCAGACAGCUCCUGUCACACCACACUGACCAGACUCUUAUGAGUAUUUAAGCAUCUUCAGGGAAGCGAUUGACUGUCUUAUAAUGGUCUUACAAGUACGGAACUUUAUUACCUGCUAAUAAUCAGAGCACAUGAUGGCACAAUAGAAUAUACGAGUGAAGUUCUAAAUGCAAGGUUGUUCUUAUUCUGUGAGUGGCAAAACUCAUGCAGUGAGCAGAUAAAGCUGGCAGGAGGCAUUGGCGCCCUAAUGCUGGGCACUAACCACCUGCCCGGACUGCGAAUAUCUGUUGGGUCCUUUCUAUAUCUGGUCUAUUCUCGUGUUUGAUUAUAUCCUGGUGGCAAGAAUAGCAAAAUCAACUCUCCUUCCUAUCCCAUGUGGAGAGGCAUGAUUUGAGUCAGAGAGCAUUAUCCUCUCUGCGUUAUCCAACCCCAUGUCCCAUGAUGCACUUUGUAGACAAGCAAGUGUCCCUGGUGGAGAAUCCACAGCCACACAUCCUCAUUGGUUGCAAGGAUCAGUGUCCAAUAUCUACUGCCAUGAUCAUUCUCAGUUUUACAUCCACAGAGCUUCAUAGAAUUCUAACACCACAGGUCCAAGUAGAGGUUUUGGCCUCAGAGUGGGCUAGAUUCCACCUCUGACAGCAGCUGUGGGACUGUUUUUCCAUCUGUAAAAUGGAGACAAGAGUAUCACCUACCUCAUGGUGUUGGUGGGAUCGUUAAACAGAAUUCCGAUCAUGAAACCCUUAGCCUGCUCCCUGCAUAGGCUGCAUGCGCUCAGUGAGCUAUGGCUCUGUUUCAUGCUGACUUUACCAUCAUGUAAGCAGUUUUAAAAAUGCUAGAAGCUUUAGUCAUAGAAUUACCAUAUGAUACAGCCUACUGCAGAGUCCAGAGGCUGAGGCAGGAGAGUUACUUGAACCUGGGAGGCGGAGGUUGCAGUGAGCCAAGAUCGCGCCACUGCACUCCAGCCUGGGCAACAGAGUGAGAUUCUGUCUCAACACAAAAAAGAAGACAUGUGUCCCCAUCACAGUAUCAUACAGAGUGCUUCCACUGCCCUAAAAUACCCUGUGCUCUUCCUAUUCAUCCCUCUCUUCAACCCCAGCAACCACUGAUCCUUUUACCAUCUCCAUGGUUUUGCCUUUCCCAGAAUGUCAUAUUGUUGGAAUCAUACGCUAUGUAGCCUUUGCAAAUGGGCUUCUUUCACCGAGCAAUGUGCAUUGAAGGUGCCUCUAUGACUUUUCAAGGGUUGAUAGCUCAUUCCUUUUUAUUGCUAAAUAAUAUUCCAUUGUCUGAAUGUACCACAUUUUGUUUAUCCAUUCACCUACUAAAGGACAUCUUGGUUGCUUCCAAGUUUGGGCAAUUAUAAAUAAAACUGCUAUAAACAUUGUGUGCAGGUUUUUUUUUCUAGAUGUCAGUUUUUAACUCAUUUGGACUAUAGAGCACUAUUGCUGGAUCAUAUGAUACGUGUGUGUUUAGUUUUAUGAGAAACUGCCAAACUGUCUUCCAAAGUGGCUGCACCAUUUUGCAUUCCCACCGUCAAUGAAUGAGAGCUCCGGUUGUUCCACAUCCUCACCAGCAUUUGGUGUUGUCAUUGUUUUGGAUUUUAGCCAUUUCAUAGGUGUGUAGAGGUAGCUCAUUGUUUUAAUCUAAUAAACAUCUUAUUGAAGAAUAACACACAAGCAGAAAAUUUCAGAGAUACAAACGAACAGCUUUUUCAACCAUCACCCACUGGAUACAGUUCUGUAUCCAGCACCCAGGCCAAGAAACUGACACUAACGGUGCCCUGUGCCC